CGGACCCGGCGAGAUUCGAACUCACGACCUCUGCCUUCGGAGGGCAGCGCUCUAUCCAGCUGAGCUACGGGUCC